GAAAUGCGAUAAGUAAUGUGAAUUGCAGAAUUCAGUGAAUCAUCGAAUCUUUGAACGCACCUUGCGCUCCUUGGUAUUCCGAGGAGCAUGCCUGUUUGAGUGUCAUGAAAUUCUCAACCUACAAGCCUUUGCGGGUUUGUACGUGUUGGACUUGGAGGAUUAUAAUUGUCGGCGCAAGUCGGCUCCUCUUAAAUGCAUUAGCUUGAUUCCUUGCGGAUCGGCUCUCGGUGUGAUAAUUGUCUACGCCGUGACCGUUGAAGCGUUUUGGCGAGCUUAUAAUCGUCUCUGUUAACGAGACAGCUUACUUUGACAUCUGACCUCAAAUCAGGUAGGACUACCCGCUGAACUUAA
rnacentral:rRNA from 1 species